UACGUAGGGUGCGAGCGUUAAUCGGAAUUACUGGGCGUAAAGCGUGCGCAGGCGGUUCGUUAAGUCAGAUGUGAAAGCCCCGGGCUCAACCUGGGAACUGCAUUUGAAACUGGCGGGCUUGAGUAUGGCAGAGGGGGGUGGAAUUCCGCGUGUAGCAGUGAAAUGCGUAGAGAUGCGGAGGAACACCGAUGGCGAAGGCAGCCCCCUGGGCCAAUACUGACACUCAGGCACGAAAGCGUGGGGAGCAAACAGG
rnacentral:rRNA from 1 species